rnacentral:rRNA from 1 species
AGCGAACGCUGGCGGCAGGCCUAACACACGCAAGUCGAACGAAGCCUUCGGGCUUAGUGGCGGACGGGUGAGUAACACGUGGGAACGUACCUUUUGGUUCGGAACAACUCAGGGAAACUUGAGCUAAUACCGGAUGAGCCCUUCGGGGGAAAGAUUUAUCGCCAUUAGAGCGGCCCGCGUUAGAUUAGCUAGUUGGUGAGGUAAAGGCUCACCAAGGCUACGAUCUAUAGCUGGUCUGAGAGGAUGAUCAGCCACACUGGGACUGAGACACGGCCCAGACUCCUACGGGAGGCAGCAGUGGGGAAUCUUGCGCAAUGGGCGAAAGCCUGACGCAGCCAUGCCGCGUGAAUGAUGAAGGUCUUAGGAUUGUAAAAUUCUUUUACCAGGGACGAUAAUGACGGUACCUGGAGAAAAAGCCCCGGCUAACUUCGUGCCAGCAGCCGCCGUAA